rnacentral:misc_RNA from 1 species
AAGUCGUAACAAGGUUUCCGUAGGUGAACCUGCGGAAGGAUCAUUACCAAUAUAGCGAACCGAGCGUUAGCGAGGCUUCGCGAUCAAAUUUGUAUUUAAAACCCAACUCUUUAAAUGUAUAUAUAUUUAUUGUAUUUUAAAUAAUAAAGAUCACUUUCAACAACGGAUCUCUUGGUUCUC